CUGGUCACUUGGCCUGCAGGCCUACGCUGUAGUGAGGAGCUCUAGGCACCUCAGAAGAGCCCAGCCUCGACAGCUUCCAGCAUCAACUUGGCUCUUCCUUCCCCUCUCACCUUACCUGGAUCCUGUGCAAACUCUUGGAGCAAAGUAGAUGGCUGAGGAGCCACAUUCUUUUGUAACGUGGUGUCCUAGUUUGCUGGGGCCCAGCCGAGGUGACCUUUCCUCCAAUUUCCACUCACAUUGCUAAAGAGUGAAUCAGCCAGAGGACAAACAUGUGGCUUCUCGGGUUUGCACCGCAGCUGAAGAGCUACUGAGCAGAAAGAGACUGUGCUCAUCCCUACUGAGCUCAUCCCUAUCAAGCAUCAGUAAAAGAGCUGGGCCUGGUGGCACAUGCCUGUAACCCCAGGAGACUGAGGCAGGAGGAUUAUUGCAAAUUCAAGACCAGCCUGGGUUACAAGCCUUGCAGGUCUUGGUCUUCUCCUCACAACGCUGGGAUGCUACGGGAGCGGCCUGAUCUCCGGGCAGAGCAGGUCAUCUCGGCCGCCCCUGGGGCGAGGGCCAGCUGGAAUGAGCGGGUCUUCCGGUCACUUCUGGACACAGGAGAUGCUCCUGGGACAGUCCCGAGGCACGAGGGCCCUGUGUGACCAGUCAGAAGCGUCCUCAACACAAAGCAGGGGUUCUUCAUGCACGAUGACCAGCCGGAUACCGCAGUCCCCAGUCUGCCCCUCCCCCGCCUCUCUUUUCCUUUCAUAUAGAUUUCUUGCUCCUCUGGGACAGCACCCCACCCCUAAUGCAGCAUUCACCCUUUUGCGGGGGGGGGGUUCCUACUGGAAAUCAAAUUUAGGGUGUUCACGCCGAGUGACAUGGUUGAUAGACUGCAUCAACUUGAGAAGCCUAGAAGCUUGUCAGUAACUCAGCAGCUCUCCAUCCUGGGGCAUAGAGGACACACCCGUACUGCUCUAAGAUGUUGUUCAUUGUGUUGCGAAAUUUACAAAUUUAAGCAGGGGGCCAGGGUCCCCCAUUUGUAGACAUCUUGAGCCUGUGGAAGAGGAGGGCAGGGAGAUGCUGUGGGCACUGCACCCACCCAAGGGCCUUUAGCCUGCGUACCACAUGAGGGAGGAAAAGAGGCUCGUUCCUGCUCUUGCUCUGGCUGCUUUGCUGUCUUCUGCCAACUCCAACUGUUGCCCCUGUGCCAGGCCACCCUGCCGCGGAGCCAGCAGAUUGCAGGCUGAAAUCUCCACAAACCGUGAGCUAAAUAAACCUUUCCCUCUUCAGUUUAGGUGUCAGAUAUUUUAUCUCAGCAACAAGAGAAAAGUAACCAAGACACUGAGUUACAUCCCCAGCUCUUUUUACAUUUUUUAUUUUGAGUCAGGGUCUAAGUUGCUAAGUUGCCCAGGCUGGACUCAAACUUGGGAUCUCCCUGCCUCAGCCUCCCAGAGGCCUGAGAUUACAGGCAUCCAACUCUAUACCCAGCUAGUAUCCACAUUUAAUACUUGCUCACACUUGGUUUUAUAGGAAACCUAGAAAGGUAGUAAAACAGUAUAACUCUGCACAAGCACGUGUGUGUGUGUGUGUGUGUGUGUGUGUGUCCUGGGGACUGAGCCCAGGACUUUCCACAUGCUAAACACACUCUUUACCACUGAGCUCUGUCUCCAGGCCCUGGAGAGGCAUUUGUCAAUGUACAUCCAACUGUAAACAUAUGAAUAUAUUUUUUUUUUGAGGCAGGCUCUCACUAUGUAAUUCAGGCUGGCCUUGAACUCCCUAUGGCCUCAAGCUCA